rnacentral:lncRNA from 1 species
GUUGGACGUCAGAGUAAUCUCGAACUAAUUUAAAGGGAAAUGACAGGGAAGGGGCCAAAUAUUGUUCAAGGGGAGCAAAUGCCCUUUCAUUUGGUAUGCAGGUUUCAAAAAUAGAGGGAGAAUAAGAGGAAAAGUUGAGUCAUCUUAUUAGACUUCAGUUAAAUAAUGUAGACUUAUAUACCACUAAUUUAAAAAAAAAAAAAACCCACUCAGAACUAUGUCUAAUUCACUUUGACUACUGAUAUGCAAACCUAAAAACAGAAAAAUAUAUCAUAAAAUAGUGAUUGAAAGAUUCAUAACACUUUGAAAGGAUAAUUCAGACACGUGUUACACGGGGAGCAUGUUUGUUUACAAAUAAUAAUGUCACGUGAUCGCGCAGACCUCACAUGUUGCAUCGCCCUUACAAUCCACUGAUACAUAACCCAUUAUCAUGCAAACAUGCAACGUGAAUGUGAUUGGUUAUCAAAUAAUACAGAAAUAAUGCAUGUACAGUUUAUGAAGAAAUUA